UGUGGUUUAAUUCGAAGCAACGCGAAGAACCUUACCAGGUCUUGACAUCCUCUGACAACCCUAGAGAUAGGGCUUUCCCCUUCGGGGGACAGAGUGACAGGUGGUGCAUGGUUGUCGUCAGCUCGUGUCGUGAGAUGUUGGGUUAAGUCCCGCAACGAGCGCAACCCUUGAUCUUAGUUGCCAGCAUUCAGUUGGGCACUCUAAGAUGACUGCCGGUGACAAACCGGAGGAAGGUGGGGAUGACGUCAAAUCAUC
rnacentral:rRNA from 1 species